UACGUAGGUGGCAAUCGUUGUCCGGAAUUAUUGGGCGUAAAGCGCGCGCAGGUGGCUAUGUAAGUCUGGUGUUAAAGCACGGGGCUCAACCCCGGUUCGCAUCGGAAACUGCGUAGCUUGAGUGCAGAAGAGGAAAACGGUAUUCCACGUGUAGCGGUGAAAUGCGUAGAGAUGUGGAGGAACACCAGUGGCGAAGGCGGUUUUCUGGUCUGUAACUGACACUGAGGCGCGAAAGCGUGGGGAGCAAACAGG
rnacentral:rRNA from 1 species